ACUAUGCAUAGCCGUAAACUUAGAUAAGAUACCACAUCUCUUAUCCGCCUGGGAACUACGAGCGCUAGCUUAAAACCCAAAGGACUUGGCGGUGCUUGACAUCCAC
rnacentral:rRNA from 1 species